GCAACGAGAUAGUCGGGACAAAUUCCAGUGGAAAAGUUUCAAGCAAUUGAAACUACCGAUAUAUCUGACC
rnacentral:sRNA from 1 species